GUGAGUUUUCCAGCACACCAGGCGGAAGUGGCCUGAGCUUUUAGGAUUUACCAUCAAGUCAUUGUGUCACUUCCUAUGGACCCUAUGUGAUGGUUAAUAUUGAUUGUCAACUUGAUUGGAUUGAAGGAUGCAAAGUAUUGUUCCUGGGUGUGUCUGUGAGGGUGUUGCCAAAGGAGAUUUGAAUCAUUUGAGUCAGUGGACUGGGAGAGGCAGACCCACCCUCAAUCUGCCAGCAUGGCUAGGCUAGAAUAAAGCAGGCAGAAGAAGGUAAAGGAGCAGACUUGCUGAGUCCUCCGGCCUUCAUCUUUCUCCUGUGCUGGAUGCUUCCCGCCCUCGAACAUCAGAUUCCAAGUUCUUCAGCUUUUGGACUCUUGGACUCUGGACUUACGCCAGUGAUUUGCCAGGGACUCUCAGGCCUGGCAAGACUCUCAGGCAGACCGAAGGCUGCGUCGUCGGCUUCCCUACUUUUGAAGUUUUGGGAUUCAGACUGGCUUCCUUGUUCCUCAGCUAGCAGAUGGCCUGUUGUGGGACUUCACCUUAGUUUUUUUUGUUUCGUUUUGUUUUGUUUUUGAGACAAGGUCUCACUCUGUCGCCCAGGCUGGAGUGCAAUGGCUCAAUCUUGGCUCACUGCAACCUCCGCCUCCCAGGCUCAAGCAAUUCUCCUGCCUCAGCCUCCUGAGUAGCUGGGACUACAGGAACACACCACCACGCCUGGCUAAAAGGGACUUCACCUUGUGAUCAUCCUUCCUUGUGUAUGUGACACGUUGUCCAGCUCUUAUGAAUCCUGGUGUCUCUCUGCUCUCCUGUCAUGGGCGAUGAUUUCCCCCUGCCUGACAAUGAUGGAGCCUCACCCUCCCCAUGGUCCAGCAUGACAGAAAGGAACGCAAAGCUGAAAUAUUUCCACAUUAACUCUGGCCAGAUGAAAGGAAAAAGAUGGAGUAGUAGAGAUUUUGAUCAUCAGUUUUCUUUAGUGCUUUUAAAGUUUUAGUUCUGUUAUGUGAUAGGGCCACACAGUCCCUUGGGAUAAGCAGUACUUAAAGAAAAAUGCCCAGCCCUACUUUUUUUGAUUUGCAUGUGAAAUGUUGUUUUUUGUUUGUCUGUUUGUUGCUACCAAAAUGAUUUAAAUGGAUUUUACCUGUUGCUAUAAUUGUAUAAUUUAAUUUUAUGGAAAGUGAAUGAAAUGUGAAUGGACAAAGAGUUGUGACUUCUUGGAAAAAUAAAUGAAAUGCAUUAAUUGCUUCAUUAA
rnacentral:lncRNA from 1 species